rnacentral:tRNA from 1 species
GCCCGCGUUGUCUAAUGGUUAUGACGUCAGACUUCUAU